rnacentral:lncRNA from 1 species
UUCAUCAAAUGUGGAAAGUUGUGAUGUCUUGGAUAAGACAAAGACCAACUAGGACCAAUUUAUGAAGUGUUUUGAUAAGAAUUACACUAACUCUUGAAUAUUUGUUUGUCAAGAAAUGUUUAUUGACAAGAGAAUCCUAUAUGUCAAGGAGUCAGUGGGAGUCUUAAUGGUCUUGAAAGGUUUCAAGAACAAAUCAAAUAAACCUUAUCGAUCAUCACUAGCACACGAGUUGAGGUUUACAACCUAUCGUGUUGACAUUAUUUUGUUUCUGUGCCAAUCCAAUCGAGUUAAUUAUGCAUGUGAGUCCUAUGAGUUCUCAUUUGAAUGCAUAAAAGGCAAGGACCUUGAUCAAUGGAAAGUACAUUGAUAGGAAAAGGUGAGCUGCUUAACUACUUGGAAGACGUGGUGGGCAGCUGUGCUACCAUAAGGCAAGAAAUCAAGACUAAGAAAGUUCGAUCCAUAUGAGUUUGAAUUUGUCGUAAACUUUGGUUUUGACAAAUUCACAUGGAUAGGAACAAAUACACCAUUUAAAUCUAAGUGUCAUAAGAUUUCCUCCUUCAUGAAAAUGAUUGUGAGGAAAUGCUUUCACUAAGAAAGAUUUUAAGAAGAUAGUGAUUGUAAAAUUGCAUUCUCGAAUUCAAUUAUGGUUACGGUAUCCCUUUCCAUGAUUUGAAUUGUGAGGUUUGGCAAUUAGUCUUAAUCGUUUAGACACACAUAUGAACUAUCUAAGGCAAAGGUGUAUAAGUUAAAAAAAAAGCCUUGAUAAAAGGUUAUCAAAGCAUUAAGUAUUAGAAACAUGGACUUAAGAAAUUCAAUAGGUUAUUGUUUUUUCUAAAAAGUUAAAAUGUUUAUGAAUACAUGUCGAAGCUGGUGGGAACAUAAGUGUUAUGUUUAUAUUAAUCAUCAUGAUAGUGGGAGCAUAAAUGUUAUGAUUGAAUGAUUAUUAAGGAAAGUAUUGCAAGGUUAGCAAUAUUAAUUAUAGAAAACAAGAGUCAUACUUUGCAAAGUUGUCAGAGUUGAAAGGUUGUUUUGCUAAAAUUAAGGGAGAAUAAAACAUUAUGCGUCGUGUCCCAUACGCUUCGGGUAUAGGAUCAAUUGCAAAUGCUUUAAUGUUUCACCAUUCUAAGAUUUUCCAAAUGUCAAGCGCAUUUAGAGGGAAAAGGGACUAGAAUUGGUUUUGACUAAAAUAAUUAAACAACUAUCAAAGGACAAUCCAAAGUUUGACGAGGAUUGGUCGCUUGUGAGUAGUUGGAAGCAUGGUAUUGGAUGGACCAUAUCGACAUUAUUAUGAAUAGAAAAGAUUCUAUUAAGAAUGAGUUGUCAUAUGGAAAUUAUGGAAAUGUUUCCAUAUUGGAUGGACCAUAUCGACAUCAUUACGAAUAGAUAAGAUUCUAUUAAGAAUGAGUUGUCAUAUGGAAAAUAUGGAAGCGUGUCCAUAUUGGGAAUUGAAUAUUGAAAAUCUAUGUCUAGAUUAGAAACUUUUAUGCAAAAGGAUGUUCAAAGAAUGUACUUUGAGUGAGAGACAUCACGUCUAUGGAAUUGUCUUGUAACAAUCUCCGAUAGAGGACUUUGUAAUAUCAUUGGCAAUAGUCUUUGUGACUUUGGUGCAGUGACAUUACGAAAGGAUCGUUGCAUAGAAU